CUUGAACGCUGGCGGCAGGCCUAACACAUGCAAGUCGAGCGGAGCGGCGGACGGGUGAGUAAUGCCUAGGAAUCUGCCUGGUAGUGGGGGAUAACGUCCGUCAACGGGCGCUAAUACCGCAUACUAUCAGAUGAGCCUAGGUCGGAUUGGCGAGUUGGUGGGGUAAAGGACUACCAAGGCGACGAUCCGUAACUGGGCCGAGAGGGUGAUCAGUCAAACUGAAACUGGGACACGGUCCAGACUGCUACGGGAGGCAGCAGUGGGGAAUAUUUGACAAUGGGCGAAAGCGUGAUCCAGCCAUGCCGCGUGUAUGAAGAAGGCCUUCGGGUUGUAAAGUACUUUCAGCGGGGAGGCGUUACCCGCAGAAGAAGCACCGGCUAACUCCGUGCCAGCAGCCGCGGUAAUAC
rnacentral:rRNA from 1 species